GGUGAGGUGUCCGAGUGGAUUAAGGAACAAGUUUGGAAAGCUUGUAUAUAUUAAACUGUAUCGAGGGUUCGAAUCCCUCUCUCACCG
rnacentral:tRNA from 2 species